GUCCUGCAGUCUUCACAGAGAUUUUCCUGGACACUGAAGCCUGCAGACAUUCAUCCGAGCUGAUUCAGCAGCUGCACCUUCAUCCUGCAGAGUCAUCCUCCUCACUGUCAGCAGCUAAUUAUCAAGCUAUCUGCAGACAAGGUUCUGCUUGUCUCAGGAGACCAUGAGGGUUUGUAUUAUUUACCGUCAGGACGUCCUCCUCUUACCACAGACAGGUAUGAAGACACACCCUGCAAUGUGCUCAAGCAAGUCCAACAUCAGCUUUCUAUGGGUCGUACCCGGUAAUGAUGUUAGUUCUGUGUUGUUUUCUGCUUCUGUUCAGAACUCAGACCUGAACCACCGUAACAGGAAGUUGAUUCUUUCCUGCAUCUGCUGAUAAUUUUCUUAUCAUCUAUGAAACAACGAGUUCUUUCGGCCCAAAGAUCGAUGUGUUAAACCGGAGCCUUGGUAGUCCCAACACCAGGGUGUCAAACUCCAGUCCUUCAGGACAGUCGUCCUCAGAUGUCUCUGCUUCAGCACAAUAAAAUCAAACAGGUUAGAGAUGAAAGCAGCACCGACACAGAAACCAAAGGAAUGAUAAACUCUAGAACAAAGCAUCCAGAAAGUGUCUAGAUGUGGCUGGAAGGUCAGAUAUCUUCAUCUGGUCCAAGAAGAGCAGAAGUUCUGCUGAACUCUCGGUCCAAUCUGACAAUGACUGGUUCUAUAGCAAACUGUGCUUCUUUCAUUAAAGUAUGAUUCAUUUGACAUAAAA